rnacentral:SRP_RNA from 1 species
UACGUGCGGCAGCGGGGUGGUCACGAACCGGGUCAGGGUCGGAAGGCAGCAGCCCUAAGAGAUACGCCCCGUGUGUCACACGAUUUG